UUUUUCUUCUCUCUUAUAGGCAAUGGACAAGCUUCCUGUCUGCUGCAUCCACUGCUGUUUAUGUUUACAUGUACUCCUUUUACUACUAUUUCUUCAAAACUAAGAUGUACGGUCUGUUCCAGACAUCCUUCUACUUUGGCUACAUGGCUGUGUUCAGCACCGCCCUAGGAAUCAUGUGUGGUGCCGUUGGAUACAUGGGAACAAGUGCCUUUGUGAGGAAGAUCUACACAAAUGUGAAAAUUGACUAAGAGGGGCAGCAGCAACACAGGGAUAUUAAAGGAUUUGCCGACAUGUAUUCUGAAAGACGGCGGGCACAAGUCAUUCUUUAAUACUUUUCUUUCUUGCAAAGAGAUUGUGAGAAUCUCACUUUGUACAACGUAGUUUUUCCAUUUUCUGAAUGAAUUUCAACGCCGCAACUCAGAACAACAGAGCAAAUCUGCGGAAGAGAUCUCAAACACAAGGUUCUGUUUUUAUCGGUUGCUUUCAAACAAAAAACGUCAGGGGCAAAGUGUUUAAGGCUGACAUGGCUUCUCUUUUCCAACCCAGUCCCACCUGAGACCAGAGAAAAUAAAUGUUUAUUGAUGGAAUAGUGUAGCUCUCUUCAGUGAAGAGGCCUAAGUUUGUUGAAAGCCUUUUGUUGUAUUGGGUCAGAAUACAGGAGAGUUGGGUUCGUGCCCGUAUUCUGACUCGAUUUCUAUUUUGUAUUCUUGAAGUCACUCGAAAUAUCGUUAACACGGUUUGUUCUGAUUUAGUUCCACUGCAAAAAGAUGAUUAUAAACAGCUGUCGUCACUCGAGAAUCAUUCCCCCACUGUGACGACUGUUAAUUCCCUGUAACAGUAGCAGUCCAUCCAGUCGAUGAGGGAGAUUUUAGUCCUGCUGUAGUUUACUGUACAGACGAGAACAGAGGGGCUGAUCAACGGUUGAGGUACAGUAAGAACCGAUUUUAAAAUGGAUGUUUGAUGUGAUCCCAUUUCCCCGUUUAGUCGGGGUUUUCUUAAUGUUUGGGUUUGAAUGAAGUCUACUUGUAAAGAUAAUAUAUGGAUGGGUGGGAGUGUAUAUAACCUUAAUAAUGUACCUUUAGAUGUAGAUCCCAAAUGUAUUUUCGUUGUACAGAUUUACUACAGGGUGUUUUUUUUAAACGAAUCAGUCAGUUAAAAACAAACGGCAAAAAAAGAUAUUUUUCUUUUCUUUUGUUUGGUGCUUGGGAUGGGGCUGGUGGCGCUGUUACAUCUUGCCUGAAAUUGCAUGAAGUUUUCACCAAACCAUCUGCUCAUCAAAAUCCACUUCAGUCAGCGCUGUCAGUUUUUAUUUUUUCCUGAUUGUGAGCAUCUUCUCAGUCUCAAAUUAGAACAUUUUGAUGACCAGAGGGCCUGAUUUUGAAUGCUUUUAUGUUGAUUGCAUAUUAUUAUUUAAAGCUUUAAAAGGCUCUACAUCUCCUGGUAAGCCAUUUCCCUCAUAUUCUUUCUAUUGCCUAACCUGAAACAUUGUUCGUGAAUGUCAGAAGGAAUGAGGCGGUUGCUUUUUUUCCGCAAAACAUACUGUACAAAGUGAAGUUUAUGUACACUGAAAAACUAGAUGUUUUCAUAACCACACACAGUGCUGCGGAGUGUUUCAAACGCUUUUUUCCAUUUUGUGUAAAUACAGUAUGUACCCUACUUGUAUGAGAAGUGGCGAUACCUUUUUUUUUUUUUUUUUUUUCUAAUUUCCAGUUCUCCCCCACUGAAGUUGAUUUUGGCACCUCAUGUUGUGUACCGAUGUCUGAUUAGACAUUUUGAACCUGCAUAUUAACUUGCUGUAAAAAGAAAAUAAACAUGUUUAUGUACAGGGUU